CGUCGCAAUAAUUAUCUUCCUUCAAAAUUGCUUUCAAGAGUAACACGAAAACUAUAUUUUAAAAAAGAAUGUUGAAAGUUGCUAGUAAAAUUUACUAAUGAACAAAUAAAAUAUAAAUUUAUUUUCUGAAAUAAAAAGCAAAUUGUUUUUUUAUUUUUUAUAUUUGUAUAAGCGAGUGAAAAGACUAUUUAAGACAAACAGUGUGAAAAAUGGAAAGUGAUUACGAUUUUCAAAUGAGGCAGAAGGGAUUUCUACCGUACCAAAUGGGAUAUCUGACUGACUGGAUGGUAAAAUUAGCCGAAGAUGAACUGCAAGAAACUGAAGAAACUCGCAAUCAAGCUCUUUUAGAACUUAGGAGAAUCAUAGCCAGUACAGGACCAAAGCAAUGUGAACACAUCUCUUCAUAACUCUUUGUAAGCAAUCUUUCUUUUAGCAGCGACAGUUUCGAAAGAUUUUACGGAGCAAUACCAACGCCUCUUACAACUGAAUGCCUCAACAUCGGUAGUCCGAUCAGACCAUUCAUUUAUUUCGCCUCAAGCUGACCUCUUCAUCAGAUUGUCGUUUACGUAACUCCGGACAAGCCAUGACUGCUGCCCAUUUGGACGCGUGCUAUGAACUAAACUGACUUUGACUGUAUUGUUAAGAAGAACUGGAGAGCUGGAAGCCUAAUGACCUAAUAGUCAAUGGCUCAUAAUUGUUUCAUAAAAAUAAGAGAGUUUAAAUAUAAUAGAGCGCACAUACGACGCUAUUUUCUGUCUUAGUAAUGAAACGUGACUCUUGUACGAAUCGUACAACAAUUCAAUUUCUGUUAUUUUCAAUUGCCGUGUUUCCCCUUCUUAUAUCAAUGGAAGAAAAACGAUGCUUGUAUUUUGAAGUCAAAAAUUUUAAAAUAUGGUGAUUUAUCGUGCAGUAUUUGAUGAUACAAAAAAUUUGUUAAAUUAAUACUUCACACAUUUUUUCAGGUAUGUAAAUUUAUCACUUUUUGGAAUUAAAAUUGUUUCAUUUAUUAUUCAAGCAAA